CACACACAACUGUUCCAGACACUUUCUUACAUGUAACUGACAUGUUUCUGUUGAAUAUUUACUUCACAGAAAUGUUUUACAGUCUUCGAAAAAGUCCGCUAGCAUCUGUUUUCAGACGAGGAGUGAUAAUAUAAUCUUUCUACAAAGGAAGAGAAGCUCCAAGAUUUCAAAAUUGCUGAAGGGAGCUGCUGACAGAAAUGCAGGAAACACAGAUUAUGAUGGCCGUGCAGCAGAGGAGCGCAGAGUCUCCUGUCGGACAACAUCUCUAUGUCGCUAUGAACCAUGUGACUAGAUCCUAUGUACCCAGCCUCAACCAUUCAUCAGAAGGACUGUGAAAGCGGGAACUCUUUGAACCACCAGUGGCAGUUUCCACGGGAUGAAAAAGGGCAUAGUAGUGGAUGAUGAGGUCCUGAGACCAUAUGGGGUGAGGAUCAAGACAACCAAACCAAAGGUGGACUGUAACCUGCUGGACUAUAUGAUAGACUUCAUACUGACCACUACUGCCAUGUAAGCAGCAUGAAAAGUUUUUGAAAAGAGGGGUAUUUCCUUCACCAAGUAAAAGUGUGGAGGAUUCAUCUGGCCUUCAUCGGCCCCCAUGAGGUGACUCGGUGUAGAAUAAAUCAGCUUGCUUUAGGCUUGAAAUGACUAGAAUCUUCUAAUGUGAGUUGAUAUCAUUUUAAACAUUCUUAAAAGUACUUCUCAUUUCUUGUGAAUGUAUUUUGUAGUAUGUGUAAAACCUUUCCAAUGAAAGAACCUUUUUUACCUUCAUUGAUAUUGUAAUCAAGGUUGUUAAUGCUAUGGACUGCACACAUCUGCUUGUGUUGGGCUUGUGUUCACAGGUUGUAUAAAACUAGGCCUGGCUGCAACAACUAAUCGAUAAUGAAAAUAAUCGUCAACGAAUUUGAAUAGUGCAUCAAAACAAACAGGCCGCUCAUAAUUCUGACUAAAAUACACAUUUUGCUCAAAUAUUUUUUUGUUAGAAAUUAGUGUAGGUUUAAAACCCUACAUGUAACACAAGUAAUCAUAUUUAUGAGAGCAGUAACAGUACAGGCACUAUUGUUGAAAUUGUCCAUUAAUAUAAUAUAAUAUAAUUACUCUGUUCAGACGAAUGAUUGUGUUUGUUCCUCGUACCUCUUACAAGUUAACAUUGUGUUUUUUUGUUUAAAUUGUUUUAAAUUCUGUUUCAAUAUAACAAGCAAUCUGUUGUUUUUAGGUUUAGAAUGUAAUGUUUGUAUUUUAACACUUUAAUGCUUAUAAUGAACAGCAGAGCCUACAUAGAUACAUUCAUUAUAUUUGUUUUCAUAGGCAGGAUGUGAAAUGACAUUCUUUAAAAUAAUGGAUUAAAAUUAUUUUAAUUAAAAAAUUAUGUAUAUAUUUUAUUUAUUUAUUUAUUUGUCAUCCAAUUACUAGUAUUAAUAAAAAAAAAUCUACAAAUAAAUUGGUUAUCAAAAAAAAUUGUUAGCCCUACAUAAGAUAUUGUUAAAGAGGUCGGCGGUAUAAUGUUGUGUGUGAACACGAAGUCAUGUUUAUUUGUACAACAUGUAAUUCAUUUCUAUAGAGAUAAUGCAUUAUUACAGUGAAACAAUUUGCUAUUUUUAUUUUGUAAAUUAGCAGAAAACCAUCUCUACCACUGCAGUGCUUUAUCACUAUUUUUUAA